rnacentral:rRNA from 1 species
AGAGUUUGAUCAUGGCUCAGGACGAACGCUGGCGGCGCGCUUAACACAUGUAAGUCGAGCGAGAACCGAAGCCUUCGGGCCUCGGGGAAAGCGGCGAACGGGUGAGUAACACGUGGGUAACCCACCCUUGGUACUGGGAUAGCCCGGGGAAACCCGGAUUAAUACCGGAUGGCCCAACAGCUCUUCGGGGCGGUUGGAAAAGGUAGCUUCGGCCUCCGACCAAGGACGGGCCCGCGGCGGAUUAGCUUGUUGGUGGGGUAACGGCCUACCAAGGCGACGAUCCGUAGCUGGUCUGAGAGGACGAUCAGCCACACUGGGACUGAGACACGGCCCAGACUCCUACGGGAGGCAGCAGUGGGGAAUCUUGCGCAAUGGGCGAAAGCCUGACGCAGCGACGCCGCGUGGGGGAAGAAGGCUUUCGGGUUGUAAACCCCUUUCAGGAAGGACGAAGCCACUCGGGUUAAUAGCCCAGAGGGUGACGGUACUUCCAGAGGAAGCCCCGGCUAACUACGUGCCAGCAGCCGCGGUAAUAC